UAAUAGUACAAUCUCUAAAAGGUUUUAUAUUUAGGAACGGAGGGAGUAGUAUGUAUGUAUGUGUGUAUGUACUUGACAUGGCAGGUGGAAGCGGUGAUCCUCCACUAACAUCAUGGAGUGGAAUACUUAACAUAAUCAGGAUGAAGCUAAAUCUUCUGCUGGAAAUGACUUCUCUGCGCUGAAGCGCUUUUUCCUCUUAGCCCUAUGGCUUGAUCGGUGCUUCUAUGUCUACCGGUGCUCCGUGUGUUGAUGGAAGGCGUACUAAGGAUCUAGCGACAUCUUCAUGCAUAGUGCAUAAUGAUAUUUUUUGUAAUGGAGAAUUAUAUGAUAUUAUUUGAUGAUUUUUUUUUCCGACCAGAAGUGGGUUUGGAUUAAUAGUUAAUAUAGUUCUAUUAUUAGAAGCACUCAUAUUUCAGAAUUUUGGUUAAAUUGGUUGUGUAUUGUAUAGCUGAUAUUGAUAUGUUGCACAUUAUUCAAGCCCAUUGAUAUAUUGCA